rnacentral:rRNA from 1 species
CCUACGGGAGGCAGCAGUAAGGAAUAUUGGUCAAUGGACGAAAGUCUGAACCAGCCAUGCCGCGUGAAGGAUGAAGGUCCUCUGGAUUGUAAACUUCUUUUAUCUGGGACGAAAAAAGGGCUUUCUAGCUCACUUGACGGUACCAGAGGAAUAAGCACCGGCUAACUCCGUGCCAGCAGCCGCGGUAAUACGGAGGGUGCAAGCGUUAUCCGGAUUUACUGGGUUUAAAGGGAGCGUAGGUGGGCAGGUAAGUCAGUGGUGAAAUCUCUGGGCUUAACCCGGAAACUGCCAUUGAUACUAUCUGUCUUGAAUAUCCUGGAGGUAAGCGGAAUAUGUCAUGUAGCGGUGAAAUGCUUAGAUAUGACAUAGAACACCCAUUGCGAAGGCAGCUUACUACGGGAUUAUUGACACUGAGGCUCGAAAGCGUGGGGAUCAAACAGGAUUAGAUACCCUGGUAGUCCACGCCCUAAACCGAUGGAUACUCGACAUCAGCGAUACACUGUUGGUGUCUGAGCGAAAGCAUUAAGUAUCCCACCUGGGAAGUACGACCGCAAGGUUGAACUUAAAUGAAUUGACGGCUGAGACGUAGCGACGGACGACGACGAGGGAGGAGG